UCGAAAAGUGGUGUGGGGGGUUUAAUUUGAGAUAUGCUUUCAGAGAAUAUCCUACACACUCACUAACAAUUUGUGAAAUCAAUGUUUUAAUUAACAUAUUUACCAAACCAAUAAAUUUAUUUGUACUAAUAGAAAGUAAAAAUAAAAUGAAAUUA
rnacentral:misc_RNA from 1 species